ACUCCUACGGGAGGCAGCAGUGGGGAAUAUUGCACAAUGGGCGCAAGCCUGAUGCAGCCAUGCCGCGUGUAUGAAGAAGGCCUUCGGGUUGUAAAGUACUUUCAGCAGUGAGGAAGGUGAGUAGUAGUUAAUAGCUUGCUAUUAUUUGACGUUAGCUAGCAAGAAGAAGCGACCGGCUAACUCCGUGCCAGCAGCCGCGGUAAUACGGAGGGUGCGAGCGUUAAUCGGAAUUACUGGGCGUAAAGCGCAUGCAGGUGGUUUGUUAAGUCAGAUGUGAAAGCCCGGGGCUCAACCUCGGAAUAUGACA
rnacentral:rRNA from 1 species